rnacentral:rRNA from 1 species
AGAGUUUGAUCCUGGCUCAGGAUUAACGCUGGCGGCGUGCAUAACACAUGCAAGUCGAACGAUGAAACUUAGUAGACUUCUUCGGAAAGACACUAAGCGGAUUAGUGGCGAACGGGUGAGUAACGCGUGAGUAACCUGCCUUACACAAGGGGAUAGCCUUUGGAAACGAAGAAUAAUACCCUAUAAAACCAUAAAAGCACAUGCUAGAAUGGUCAAAGUGAUAGCGGUGUAAGAUGGACUUGCGUCUGAUUAGCUAGUUGGUGAGAUAAAAGCUCACCAAGGCAACGAUCAGUAGCCGGCUUGAGAGAGUGUACGGCCACAUUGGGACUGAGACACGGCCCAGACUCCUACGGGAGGCAGCAGUGGGGAAUUUUGCACAAUGGGGGAAACCCUGAUGCAGCGACGCCGCGUGAUUUAGAAGGCCUUCGGGUUGUAAAAAUCUUUUGUAUAGGAAGAAAAUGACAGUACUAUACGAAUAAGGUCCGGCUAAUUACGUGCCAGCAGCCGCGGUAAUACGUAAGGACCGAGCGUUGUCCGGAAUCAUUGGGCGUAAAGGGUACGUAGGCGGCUAGAAAAGUUAGAAGUCAAAGGCUAUAGCUCAACUAUAGUAAGCUUCUAAAACUAUUUAGCUUGAGAAAUGGAAGGGAAAGUGGAAUUCCUAGUGUAGCGGUGGAAUGCGCAGAUAUUAGGAAGAAUACCGGUGGCGAAGGCGACUUUCUGGCCAUUAUCUGACGCUGAGGUACGAAAGCGUGGGUAGCAAACAGGAUUAGAUACCCUGGUAGUCCACGCCGUAAACGAUGAGUGUUAGGUGUCUGGAGUCAAAUCUGGGUGCCGCAGCAAACGCAUUAAACACUCCGCCUGGGGAGUACGCACGCAAGUGUGAAACUCAAAGGAAUUGACGGGGACCCGCACAAGCAGCGGAGCAUGUGGUUUAAUUCGACGCAACGCGAAGAACCUUACCAAGUCUUGACAUAUUACAGAAGCAGUUAGAGAUAAUUGCUUACAUCUUCGGAUGACUGUAAUACAGGUGGUGCAUGGUUGUCGUCAGCUCGUGUCGUGAGAUGUUGGGUUAAGUCC